ACCCUUGUAGCAGAACGGAAUAUGCACUGGUCUUAGAAACCAGGUUUUGUGGGUUCGACUCCCACCAGGGGUAC
rnacentral:tRNA from 1 species